AGAGUUUGAUCAUGGCUCAGAACGAACGCUGGCGGCAUGCCUAAUACAUGCAAGUCGAACGCUUUUGGGGUUUCGGCUCCAGGGGAGUGGCGCACGGGUGAGUAGCGCGUGGGAACCUGCCCUGUUGUGGGGGAUAACCGAGGGAAACUUCGGCUAAUACCGCAUGCGCCCGCGGAGUUGAUCCGCGGGGAAAGAUUUAUCGCAGCAGGAGGGGCCCGCGUCGGAUUAGCUGGUUGGCGGGGUAACGGCCCACCAAGGCGAUGAUCCGUAGCUGGUCUGAGAGGAUGAUCAGCCACACUGGGACUGAGACACGGCCCAGACUCCUACGGGAGGCAGCAGUAGGGAAUAUUGGACAAUGGGCGCAAGCCUGAUCCAGCAAUGCCGCGUGAGUGAUGAAGGCCUUCGGGUUGUAAAGCUCUUUCGCCCGCGACGAUGAUGACGGUAGCGGGAGAAGAAGCCCCGGCUAACUUCGUGCCAGCAGCCGCGGUAAUACGAAGGGGGCGAGCGUUGUUCGGAUUUACUGGGCGUAAAGGGCGCGUAGGCGGCUCGUCAAGUCAGGCGUGAAAGCCCCGGGCUCAACCUGGGAGGUGCGCUUGGGACUGGCGGGCUUGAGUUCGGGAGAGGAGCGUGGAAUUCCCAGUGUAGAGGUGAAAUUCGUAGAUAUUGGGAAGAACACCGGUGGCGAAGGCGGCGCUCUGGACCGAGACUGACGCUGAGGCGCGAAAG
rnacentral:rRNA from 1 species